rnacentral:rRNA from 1 species
AUUGAACGCUGGCGGCAGGCCUAACACAUGCAAGUCGAGCGAGCGGCGGACGGGUGAGUAAUGUAUGGGGACUGCCCGAUAGAGGGGGAUAACUACUGGAAACGGUAGCUAAUACCGCAUACUAUCGGAUAACCCAUAUGGGAUUAGCUAGUUGGUUAGGUAAUGGCUCACCCAGGCGACGAUCCCUAGCUGGUCUGAGAGGAUGAUCAGCCCAACGUGAACUGAGACACGGCCCAGACUCCUCCGGAGGCACCAGUGGGGAAUCUUGCACCAUGGGCGCAAGCCUGAUUCAGCCAUGCCGCGUGUAUGAAGAAGGCCUUAGGGUUGUAAAGUACUUUCAGUCGGGAGGCGUUACCGGCAGAAGAAGCACCGGCUAACUCCGUGCCAGCAGCCGCGGUAAUUC